AUGCGUUAGGGGCUUGUAGCUCAGUUGGUUAGAGCGCGCGCUUGAUAAGCGUGAGGUCGGAAGUUCAAGUCUUCCCAGGCCCACCUGGUUACGGGGCCAUAGCUCAGCUGGGAGAGCGCGUGCUUUGCAAGCAUGAGGUCGUCGGUUCGAUCCCGUCUGGCUCCACCAGCGUCCGCGAAACAUCACUUCGCACCUGCUAGUCUGGAUAGACAGCAGAUUGCGUGAUUUCUGACAUCGUAAAGAGGAGAUCGAUCCGAGUUGGAUCGUGCAGCAAGCAAUUGCUACGCGAGACUUCAUUAUCUCCGGAUCAUUUCGGCGCUCGCGCGUCCUUCAAGGUCAAACUUGGAAGGCGGGCGAGUUGUAAAUGAUCCUUUUAGCGAAGCUUGACCGCCUCGCUAUCGGAACGAUCUUACGAAGCAAGCUGGUCUUUCUAGUCAAUGUCCGGCUGCAGAUAGCGUUCAUCGAGGGCGCGUGCCGCAAGGUAGUUCUGCAGACAACAUUCUGCCGAGUGUGUGGACAUUGAUAAUGAGAGC
rnacentral:tRNA from 1 species